GGUUGGGAGCAGCAAGUACUGCAGUCCAUUUGAGGUAUGAUAAUCAGCUGAUUAGCUAGUGGAGUCGUUUUCCCUGAGGCUCUUUUGUGUGCAAAAUCCUCACACUCAAUUGACAUGUGGACAUCAUAAAGCUGAUGAAAUGCAAUUGUAAUGAACAAGAGGGAGCGGCAUCUGCAGCCGUCUAAAUGAAGGACCCUUUCCUCUCGCCAUGCUAAUUCAGAAAAUCUGCUCUUAACGUGUACUCCCCCUGGAUUCCAAAUUGAGGCACAUCUCCAUGAAUGCAUAUUCAAGGAGUGAAUUAGCCUCUGUGGCAAGUGAGCGCCUAGCCUGGCCAGACUGAUUCUAAUUUCAAGAAAGAUUAUACUGCAUCAACCAUAGUAAUGAUCUGACAGUUCAUUUGUGAUGAGAGUCCUACAGUCAGCUUUACUGCUCGGACAGACAGGUGCACAGAGAGAGCCAGCAAGACCUCUCAGAAAACACCAAAGGCUGCUGUCAAAUGAUUUCAGCC
rnacentral:lncRNA from 1 species